AUUGAACGCUGGCGGCAGGCUUAACACAUGCAAGUCGAGCGGGGUGAUGGUGCUUGCACUAUCACUUAGCGGCGGACGGGUGAGUAAUGCUUAGGAAUCUGCCUAUUAGUGGGGGACAACAUUUCGAAAGGGAUGCUAAUACCGCAUACGUCCUACGGGAGAAAGCAGGGGGUCACUUGUGACCUUGCGCUAAUAGAUGAGCCUAAGUCGGAUUAGCUAGUUGGUGGGGUAAAGGCCUACCAAGGCGACGAUCUGUAGCGGGUCUGAGAGGAUGGUCCGCGACACUGGGACUGAGACACGGCCCAGACUCCUACGGGAGGCAGCAGGGGGGAAUAUUGGACAAUGGGGGGAACCCUGAGCCAGCCAUGCCGCGUGUGUGAAGAAGGCCUUAUGGUUGUAAAGCACUUUAAGCGAGGAGGAGGCUCUUUUGGUUAAUACCCAAGAUGAGUGGACGUUACUCGCAGAAUAAGCACCGGCUAACUCUGUGCCAGCCGCCGCAGUAA
rnacentral:rRNA from 1 species